ACAGUAUGGUGGUUUCUAAAAAAAUUAAAUGUAGAAUUACCAUAUGAUUCAGCAAUGCCAUUUCUGGGUGUACACCCAAAAGAAUUUAAAGCAGGGACUUGAAGAGAGAUUUGUUCACCCAUGUUCAUAGCAGCAUUAUUUAAAGCAGCCAAGUGGGAGAAA